AGAGCGAACGCUGGCGGCAGGCCUAACACAUGCAAGUCGAGCGCCCCGCAAGGGGAGCGGCAGACGGGAGAGUAACACGUGGGAACGUGCCCUUUGGUUCGGAACAACACAGGGAAACUUGUGCUAAUACCGGAUAAGCCCUUACGGGGAAAGAUUUAUUGCCAAAGGAUCGGCCCGCGUCUGAUUAGCUUGUUGGUGAGGUAACGGCUCACCAAGGCUACGAUCAGUAGCUGGUCUGAGAGGAUGAUCAGCCUCACUGGGACUGAGACACGGCCCAGACUCCUACGGGAGGCAGCAGUGGGGAAUAUGGACAAUGGGCGCAAGCCUGAUCCAGCCAUGCCGCGUGGAUGAUGAAGGCCUUAGGGUUGUAAAGUCCUUUCGGCGGGGAAGAUAAUGACGGUACCCGCAGAAGAGCCCGGCUAACUUCGCGCCAGCAGCCGC
rnacentral:rRNA from 1 species